AGGCCAUAUAGAUCGGCUGCUAGUCCACACAGAGAGACUCUCUCUGAGAGAGUAUUGCGGAAGAGGGAUAAAAAUGAAGAAAGCUGCGGCAUUUACGACAUCAACUCCAUCGUUUAUCCCUAUUCGGAUCGGCGUCGUUCUCACAAUCAUUCUCCUCUGCCUCAUUCCCCUGGCCUUCGCCAGCCGUCUUCUCUUGGCGAAGAUGUGCACCUACAAGGAACUUUUCCGUCCUUAGCUGGCCAAGCAGUCGAACGCAAUCUAGGAGGUGUGGGUGGAAGUCCUUACCAUAGAGAUGGGCGUCCGGGACCUAAUCCAGUGUUCAUGAUCAAUUGAUCCUAGAGCCAGUAAAAAAUUCGAUGAGCGGAUAUUCUAGUCAUCUCGAUGAAAUGAUUUAUAAGUUUAUAUGGAGCUAAGAUUGUCAUGGAAAGUUUUGUUGUGACAUAUAUAUUGAUACUGAUUAUGAAUAACUUUUACGAUUUGCUCAGACAAUUUUGAUCAAUUGGAAAUUAUUGAUGACAA